rnacentral:rRNA from 1 species
AUGCUUAAGGCUGCGGAGGUACAAAUCAAGAAGGAGCAUCAAGUGUUGAUGGUUAACAAGACCACUAGUUUUAAGAAAAAGGGCAAAGGGAAGAAAGGGAACUUCAAGAAGAAUAGCAAGCAAGUUGCUGCUCCCAGGAAGAAGCACAAGUCUGGACCUAAGCCUGAAACUAAGUGCUUCUACUACAAAGGGACUGGUCACUGGAAGCAGAACUGCCCCAAGUAUUUGGCGGAUAAGAAGGAUGGCAAAGUGAAAGGUAUAUUUGAUAUACAUGUUAUUGAUGUGUACCUUACUAAUGCUCGUAGUAGUGCCUCGUUAUUUGAUACUAGUUCUGUUGCUCACAUUUGCAACUCGAAACAUGGGCUACUGAUUAAACAAAGAUUGGCUAAGGACGAGGUGACGAUGCGCGUCGGAAAUGGUUCCAAGGUCGAUAUGAUCGCCAUCGGCACGCUACCUCUACAUCUACCUAUGGGAUUAGUUUUGGACCUGAAUAAUUGUUAUUUGGUGCCAACGUUAAGCAUGAACAUUAUAUCUGGAUCUUGUUUGAUGCGACACGGUUAUUCAUUUAAAUCAGAGAAUAAUGGUUGUUCUAUUUAUAUGAGUAAUAUCUUUUAUGGUCAUGCACCCUUGAUGAGUGGUCUAUUUUUGUUGAAUCUCGAUCGUAGUGAUACACAUAUUCAUAAUAUUGAAGACAAAAGAUGCAAAGUUAAUAAUGAUAGUGCAACAUAUCUGUGGCACUGCCAUUUAGGUCAUAUUGGUGUAAAGCGCAUGAAGAAAUUCCAUGCUGAUGGGCUUUUGGAAUCACUUGAUGCUUGUGAAGCAUGCCUCAUGGGCAAGAUGACUAAAGACUCCGUUCUCCGGAACAAUGGAGCGAGCCACUGA